AUUGUUUCUCGAUUUCACGCCACUUCUUCUCCACCGCACCCUUGCUCAGGCAUCAACAGCUUGUUGCCAUGGUUUGAAUCACACAUGUUCAGUUGAAUGGAUAUCUAAGAGGACCAAGGUGAUGUUGUUGUGAGAUAUUUGCAAAGGGAGUUUGUGACGUACUGUCAACUCGGUACAUUCAGCGUGUGUGUUCAGGUUCUUUGACACGCUUGGGAUCGACGGAUCGUUCAUGCCAUGGUUGGAUUUGAAUGGGGGCAGCCGUUUGAAAUCUAAUUCAGAAGAUACACAACCUAAGAUCGAAAUAUUCCUACCUGAACCAAAGGGUUCUACUGUUUGUGACGUGCUUCUUGUUGAUCAUCUGCUGCUUUGGCACGUCAAGGGCCAAUGCUGGUGUCAGGACCACUGCGAUCACAAACAAAGCCAAGUAGCUGCUGCUCCGCUCUCUACUGAAGAAGCAUUUGUAGAUAACGUAAG